rnacentral:rRNA from 1 species
UUUAUUGGAGAGUUUGAUCCUGGCUCAGGAUGAACGCUGGCGGCGUGCCUAAUACAUGCAAGUCGAGCGAAUGGAUUAAGAGCUUGCUCUUAUGAAGUUAGCGGCGGACGGGUGAGUAACAUGUGGGUAACCUGCCCAUAAGACUGGGAUAACUCCGGGAAACCGGGGCUAAUACCGGAUAACAUUUUGAACCGCAUGG